UACAGGGGGGGCAAGCGUUGUUCGGAAUUACUGGGCGUAAAGGGCCAGUAGGCGGCCAACUAAGUCCGACGUGAAAUCCCUAGGCUUAACCUAGGAACUGCGUCGGAUACUGGAUGGCUUGAAUUCGGGAGAGGGAUGCAGAAUUCCAGGUGUAGCGGUGAAAUGCGUAGAUAUCUGGAGGAAUACCGGUGGCGAAGGCGGCAUCCUGGACCGGCAUUGACGCUGAGGAGCGAAAGCCAGGGGAGCAAACGGG
rnacentral:rRNA from 1 species